AUGCCGUGGUGGGGACAUUAUCUAAGAAGCUCCUUAAAUAUUUCCCAAUCAUCAAAUAGGGAUUCAUCCACUCCUUGUCUAAAUGAGGUUAUUUUGUUUCUCAUUUU